UCAGACUGAGAGAUGAGUAGCAGGGUCUAAAAUAACCCUGCCUAUCUUACACUCCAUUGCUUGGGGGAAGGGGGGGGGUGCUGAAUGGGGCCCAGGCACAAGAACCAAGAUUGACAAACUCUGAAAUACCCAUAGUUCUAAGGAAACCUCUAACAAUGUUUUCCCCACCUCAAAGAGUCCCCAAAUGGCUUCCUGGCAGUUAGGGAUAGCAUAAAUUACCAGCACUUGUGAAUUAGCAAAUGCCCUUAUUAUCACAUAGGUGGUGAUGCUGGGCUGGUAAAUUGAAUCUUUGCAAAUCAGGGUGGUGUUUGCCAGGUCUCCAGCCUGUGUCAACACAGCUCUUUGAGUGAGGCCUCUCCUGACCCCUUAGCUCCUAGCUGCAGGGCUAGAGGGGGAUGCAACUUGCUGCACAGUCUGGAAUUUUUCAGCUUUUUUCUUCUUUUGGCCAUUGAAUGCUGUCUGAGAAGCGGCAGGGGGUAGGAGAGACAGAGGGAAAGAGAGAGACACAGAGUCAGACACAGACAGAAAGGAAAAGGUAUGGUGCAUAAAGAGGAAGAGAGGGAGAGCAAUAGAUAGUGAUACAGAAUGAGGACAUGAGCUAAAUCCCAUUUACACAUGGAAAACCAGCUCCUGGUAGAGAUGAGUUGAGUACACAUAGGCCCAAAUUCCCUGUUGGAGUAACCCUAUUGACUGCCCUGGAAUUACAGCAGAAGGGAAAACGGUUCACACUUGGGAGCCAGAUUUCAAAGAUAUUUGAGGUUUCUGGCUCUUCCCAUAAUAGCAACGCAGCCAGGUACAAAAAUCGGAGCGAUAUCAGGAUCGAGAUCCAGGUGAGCUUAACCCAGUCCUUGGCUUUGGUUUGGCCCUAUGAUGAGUUUCUGGUACUCGGGGUGGGCUUGUCAGAAGCACUUGGCAUGGGCCUGAUUCUGUUCUCAUUGAAAUGAAUGUGAGUUUUACCAUUGGCUUCCUUGGGGAGCAGAGAGAGGCCCCCACCAAGAGCUUCUGACAGUCCAAGCCGUGACGAAUGAACGUUGACCAUGUUUAUAUACUUGUCUGGCAACCAUAACCACCAGAGCGUGCUCAUCCCUGCAGCUGUGCGUGUGGGGCUCCCAUUGACUUCAGUGGGAGUGGCCCCCAUGUACCUUACGGGAUAAGCAGGAAGGGCCUUGUCAAUGAGACCUGGAGCUGAAUAGACAGAAGAGAUAGCAGGCCAGUAAAAGAAAGCUAAGAAAGAAAGACGGUUGCACAGGCCAGUUAGGAGAAGCUCUAACCUGCUUCUACUUUUACGCCGUGUAGCGCAGAUUUUCAUACAAUUUCAUGGAAAAAGCAGAGCUACUUUGGGAAUCACAUGCAGAUUAUACAAAAUUGCUGCCCUCCCUCCUAGAAUCUGGUGUCAGGUAUGUGACUAUCUAAAUGGAUUAGUAUAUUCACCGUUCCUGAUUCAGUGCCCGUAAGAAUCAGUGGAAAGACUCCCAUUGACUUCAGUGGGGGCUGAAUUGGCCCCAAAGACUUUAAAAUUAAAAGGCACCAUUAUGUUCUCUAGUCUGGCCUCCUACAUAACACCAGCCAUAAAUUUCCACCAGUGAUUCUUACUUACCAAAAUAGGGCAAAGAAAGUGAAGGAAAUGGCCCGUCCCUAGAAGCACCAGGCACAUAUUUCCUCUGCUAAAAUGUCAAGAAGGAUUUGGUGUGGAAGCUAAAGCAGGGAUCCGUGCAUGAGUCUCAUUGACCCUGACAGGGCAUGGCAGGUCACAUUUUCCUGGGGGGAGACUGCCUCUUUAUAACUCUCCAGUGUAUCAGGCAGAGGCACCUUUCCAGUGAUCUCAGGCUGCCCCUUCUCUUUACAGACCCCAUCUGUGUUUACAGCAAGAAUAAUCUGCUCAUGCAGAUCUCUCUUCCAGGAACCUGGGCAGUGAUGCAACAAUACCCACCUUCCACCUCAGCGCUUUGUUGUCUGGAGUCUCCUUGAAGGCCGUAAAGGCAUGACUGAGGAGCUUUGGCAGAGAUGUGUGCAGGCUCGGCUGGAAGUGCAUGGGGAGCUACAGGAGCCAGCUCGCCCCCAGGCUUUGAAAAGGGCUGCAGUCUGUUUAUCUACAGUGGGAACCAGCAGAUGCAGGUGGCCCUGGCAUGUCAGUAGCAGCUCCAAGAGGUGAGAAGAUGGAAGCCCUGUUACACACAGCUCUCCCAAAUGCAGCAAUUUGCAGUGGAGAUGAAAGACCUGCCAUUUGCUGGGGUCACCAUUUUAUCACCUGCUCCCGGACUUCCUUGCAGGGUGAAGGAAUUCUUUCCCAUAGAAAGGAUCCGUUUCCAUUCUUCAAACAGUAAUGAUGCAGGCAUGGUACCACAAUAGGCAGCAUAGAGACUCUUGCUUCUAGGAGUGGGCUCAAACCUAAACCCCAGCGCCGACAAAUUUGGAUCCAGAUCUGAACUUUGGCCUAUAUUGUUACAAUGGACAGAACCAAAAUCCAGAUCCAAACACCCCGAAUCUAUGGGGGAGUUUGGAUCUGGAUCUAUCCCUGAACUUUGCGAAUUUGGCUCCAUGUCUAGUGUGAAUUCAAAUUCUAGACAUAGGUUUGAGGGUCAGUUUGUAUUUGAGUUGAGCUGGUUUACUCAUUCCUACGAUGAGUUGCCCUGAUAAAUGUGAUUUUCUGCUGGACAUCACCAUGUCUGUUCAGCUGCCAAGGAUUCAGAACACAUUUAGGGUACAUCCAGUCCCAUAUACUUUGGACUUUUAUUAACUCAAAAUGUCUAAAUCCUCAUAAACAAUAAGCAAAUGCCUGUAUGGUUAUAACCCAUUUUUCUCACGCUUAAGUAAUGCGUGGCUCCUUGCUUCCUGGGAGACCGUGGACUUAGAAAGAUAUCAGUCACAGAAGUUGGAUCAUUGCCAAGGGGUCUAGUCUAGUUAGACUAAAUGGAUUGUAAGUUUUUGGGACAAGUUUAAUAUUUUACUCAUUUGUACAGCAUCCAUCACAACGGUGUCUUUAGGUGCUACCAUAACAUAAAUAAAUGAUGACAACAGCAACAACAACAAUAAUGCUGCUGCUGCUGGCCUGCCAGGAGUUUCCUAACAGCGGAUGUAUCUAAUAUUACACUGAUACUACUCUAGAAGCCAAAUCAGACAAGGUGUUAAUGCCUGGAAAAUCAUUCCCCUGUCCAUCCCCCAAAAAUACAUUCUCCCCAUGCUAGGGACAAGCAGUUUAUAAAUGACAGUAGGUAGCUAGGCAGAUAAGAGUAGAUCGCAUUAUGAUGUACCACUUGCUCAGCGUUUUGGGCAGAUGCAUGUAUUGUGAUCUCCAAAAUCUCGUCUCUGCGCGUUGCCCAGGACUGGGCACUGGGACGGUGGGAGGGGGAAGGAGAGGGAAAUACCCGUCUCAUUUUUCCAAAGUGAUCACUCAGCCAUUAUUUACAUUGCCAAAAAGGGAGACAGAUUUGUGAAUGAGCCUGAGAUCAGACUUGGCAAAAAGGAGGAAGUCAUUCAUGAGUCACUUAGGAAUCGAGUAACGCUGAACAAAGGCAGCUCCAGGCAGAGACAUACUGUUUACAUUAUACGCACAGGCACUAUGGAGCCAUAUUGGCACGCUCUGGUUUGCUUGCUUUUUGUUGUUGUUGUCAGUUUAUUUUAGAAAUAGCAUGUGAGGAUUUGGGAACGUGAAAGAAGAUAUUGGCUUUAAAGCCCACUGAGUUAAGCCACUCCUUUAGCUGAGAUUUUUAAUGGCUAGGAGCAAACAGAAAGGGCCAGAUUUUUAAGGCGUUUAGGGCACACAAUCGCAUGUGCAUUUGCACCAUCACAUUUCAUCAUGUGCAUUUGCACAUUUGUCACUCUGAGCAUGCAUGUGGAUUGGAUAAUCGUGUGUAGAAAUGGCCUGUUCUGGUUGCUUGCACAUACAGCUGGGUGUGUGAAUGGCACAUGCAGUUGCUCACCUAAGCACUUUAUAAAUCUGGCCCAACAUGUAUUUAUUUAUUGGCUGUUUGUGUCAUGUUCAUUAUGCACAGAAGCACAGACUCCUAGCAGUACGACAAACGUCCAUGCUUCCUAGCCUAAACGGGGUGAGGGCUUAUCAUUAGCAUCGCACAGAGUUUCUGCUGCACCUGCCAACAGAGCAGCAAAGGUCAUUUGGAAACUGACCUCUGCAGCUGAUUAACGCUCCCGCUGAACACCCUGGGUUGCUGUUCAUGCGUUUCAGGGUUUGAGGCAGCCUAUCCUCUGCAGGCACUUAAACAGCACUGAUGGAUCCAUUUUCUAAUGUGGGUGCCCCUCGUUGAGUUCAAAAGUUGCCCAGGAGUGGUAGGACGCUUUACUGUCCAGAGCACAGGAGUAGGAAUGCGAAGACCUGAGCUUAGGCAAGUCACAUCACUGCUCUGUGCCUCAGUUGCCUCUUUUGUAAAACGCAGGGAGGGGGAUAAUAACUCACUCACAGAGUGUUGCAGGCUCACUGCAUUAAUCACUGUACAAUCAUUUAAAAUCCUGGAGUGGGAGGAGCUCUAGAAAAGCAAAGUUUCACUAUUAUUAAUGUUGGCAUCUGCACAACUUGAAUGGCUUAUUGACUUCCAUUGAUAAAGCUCCUUUGUUCCCAAAACACUUCACAAACUACAUGCAACUUAGAGAAGAAUUGUGUUACCUGUCAAAAAAAUGCAGCCUCUGCUGGGGUCAAACACAACAGCUGCAUAACAGCAUGUACCAACACUGUACUUUCUAAGUUAGGAAUCUCAUAGCCCAUGGGUGGAGAGAUAUCUUGAUGAAGCCAAGGGAGGGUAGGUGCCUCUUUCUUACUGCCAAGGCAGAAUGUUAUUAUAUAACUGAACAAUUGCUCUGUGUCUCUAAUAAAAGGGAAUGGCCCUGUUUAUAGAAUGGGGUGAUAAACCAGUGACUCUGGUAUUAGUCAGAAAGCUGGAAAGUUUUCUACAUACCAGCAUUAGCAGGAACGGUAUUUGCUAAGAGGGGAGGAGGUAUGACAGAGGGGAAAGCCUCUUAUCCAGUUCUUCCCCAUGUAUGGAUGUGAAGCCAGGGUUACUCAGCAGGAUAUGGCAUAGACAGAGAACCCAUCGGGUCAGAUGCACUCCAUGAUAUAUCUCCUCUUCAAGGAAACAGGACAGCUAAGUGCAAAUGGCACAUCCCACCUCCUCCCCAACAUACACAAUGAAAGAGGAAACCAGGAGAGGGAGGCAGAUGAAGAUAGGGCCUUUGCACUGGAAUGAGAUGCCCAAGCUCUGCAAGGUGCAAGUUUUCAAUUAGCUGACAUUCAGUAAAACACCCAGGACUCCAGGCUUUGACUGACUCAUAAGCCACAGCCGGACUCAAAUGUAUUUCUAGUUAGCAAACAGAUGGGGAGAUUGGGACACAUUUGGACACUAGAGCGUGGCCCAUCAAUACUGAAAUGAGCAAUGGCGUGCAGACAGCAAGCUCGGCCCUUAUUGAGCCGGAAAGUAGUGUUACAUGUAACCCUUGAGUGAUCCCUGUCGGUUAACGUAUGCUAUUGCUAGCCUCAGUAGCAAGCCACAUCCUGAACUCUCCAGCCAGAGCAAGGUGGGGCAUUUGAUGCCUGGGAACGUAGUUUUGAAAAGUCCCGAGUCAUUCACUGCAUCAGAGUAACAUCCUGCACUCCUGUCCAGGGACCUCCAAGUGCUUGGCAGACACAAAUGGAUUCAGCAUGUGAACUAGGUCCGUAUUAUUAUCCCCAU